UUUACUGCUUUAAAUAAAAUGAAUUAUUCAGCUAUUGACCAAAUUAAAGUAAUUUGGGUCUAUUGGUACAAAGUUUAAGAAAGUAAGUUGUGUCCAUAAUGAAAAUGUGUACACACACAGCAUGUACUUGGAACAAAGGGCAUGAGGUGAAAAAAAAGUUUCACUGUUCUUCAGACUCACAUUUGUAUGUAAAAAUAGUCUUUUGUUGUUUUAAAAGAUAUGAUUUUUAUCUUACCUCUUCUUUCUCAAAGGAUAAUGCUCAGUGUGUGACAAAAAGAAAUAGAGAAAUAUCAGUACUCUCUCUGAGACUAGUUUGCCACUAAAAGUUGUCUUUUUUUUUUUUUAUUGAAGUUCGAUUUGCCAACAUAAAAGUUGUCUUUCAAUUACUUGAUUAGAGAAACAUGGAGGAAAAGCCAGAUGUUGAGUCUUGAAUACAUAAUGGAGAAUCCCAUUGCUCCCUCCAGUCAGAGAGCAAGAUUGAGCCAGAUUUAAAGCCUGUGGGAGAGAGCCAGGGGGUCAAGGCACAGGGAGGUCUGGCCCGGAGAGCCUGGAUGAUGAUGACAGGAUGGAGGAAAUAUCUGCACAGAACAGAUACACCCUAAACAGUCAUCAUACAUUUAGCAUCUCUAUUUGGGAUGACCUCUUCUUAUUAAAACACUCAGGCUCUCUGGGGAAGUUCAUAGACUCAGGAGAGGUAUUGCUUUGUUCUAGACCAAAGUCUGAACUGUUACUUGAGGGUCGUUGGGAAUACAUUAUAAGGGCAUCAUCUGUUCCACUGUUUUCAUAAUUUCCCCCAUAUUCAAUGUUGACCAGGAAAAAAUGUAGACAGAAGGGUAAUGACUACAUAGGAAAGGGAACAGCUAGCUAUUACCUUGCUCAUUUGAUGGAUAUAAACAACAGUAUUAGAUAUUUCUGGCCACAAAACGUGUCUUCCGAUCAAAAUUUAUUAAAUUUCUUUGCUCUGCAAUGUCAGUUUAUUAAAAAUCCACUUCUCCAAAUACAUAUAUAGAUCCAUAAGGACUUUGAGUGUUAAGAUUAGAUGUAAAAAAAAAAAAAUUGUCACUAAGUGCAGACAUUUUCUCCUCUUUCCUUUAGGUGAGAGGGAAAAAUGUAUUUUCCUUUUAGUAUAUUAAAAUUAUACCCAGUUGCCUUGAGCCAGUUGCGACUGUAUGAGCCAAGCACUAACCAGAACCAGCACUUUUGAUGCCCUAAAUACUUGGUUGUGCUUGAGUCCAAUGAAACUCUUACAACCUUGGAUUCCAAUAAAUGUGCACAUGGUCAGGGCAGCCCGGGUAGCUCAGCAGUUUAGUGCCGCCUUCGGCCCAGGGUGUGAUCCUGGAGACUCGGGAUCGAGUCCCACGUCAGGCUCCCUGCGUGGAGCCUGCUUCUCCCUCUGCUUGUGUCUCUGCCUCUCUCUGUGUCUCUCAUGAAUAAGUAAAUAAAAUCUUUAAAAAAAAUGUACAUAUGGUCAGAUUUUGAGAACAUUGAUUUCUGGUGAUUUACUGACCUCAAAGAGGGCAUUAGUCUGAGGAAAGUUAGACUCUUUGCAGUGAAAACAUACUGUCUUUGGUCAUAGAUAGAGCAAGUUACCAGAUAUCAAUUUUCGAAUUCCAGCACAUUUGUAGAUAGGCCUAAACCUCAUUGGAAUAGUCUGUUGAGGCCAAAGCCCAGAAAGAAAAUUAUCUCAUGCUUCUAAAAACAAACAAACAAAUAUGGUUCCUGUGAUGACAAGAAAAUAUACAAGAAGCAUUUUCUCUCAAGCCUAGGCAAACAUAUGUAGAAAAGGUUUGGCGAUUUUAAAAGUAACUUUAUUCAGAUUUAUAAUGGUUUGAGAUCCUUGAAUGAUCCUUAGUAUGUACAAAGGAGGAGAAAGGGGAGAAGGAGAUAAAAACUUCAGGAGCUAACUGAAAUACCUUUAAUUGAAGUUAUUACUAUUUCAAUUUGAGAUGUUAAAUGCAAAGCAAAUGUAUCAUCAUGGGAUAAAUAUGCAGCUGUCAUAUAAUUGUUCCAAAAAUUAAGAGAUAUUGACUUAUCUGUAAAUGAAGAAACCAUGAUGACUGAAUAGCUUUUCUUGUUUUGUUUUUCUUUUAAAAAAAUUACUGAGCUACAUUCAGUAUAACUUUGGCUUCUAGGAAGGAGAACCACCUUGGUUCUACCUUGAAAUGCUUUUUGGAUGCCUUCCUCACUCUCUUUUUAUUCCUGUACAUUUGGCAUUAAUCGUGUUUAAGGGUUUGGAUGAGGCAGGAGCCCGGAAGAGAUGUUAAGCUGUAUCACUCAAUAAAGCAUUCCCUAUUCAGCUGAUUCAUGGCUCUCUCAAUCUUGGUGGAGUCAUUCUUAGAAUAGCAAGGUCCAUCUGCCCUGGGAUAACAGUAGCCACAGAAGAGCUAACAUGGAGACCUUCGAGUACUGGGCCACAUGGGCAAACGCCCUUGAUUGGGAAAAAAUAGCUCAACCUUUAAAAUUGGCCUAAGGAAUAGUAGAUCCCCAAUGCAUUCUUCGAAGUGCUUUCCACCUUUAAUUUAGAUAUUUCAAGGGAAAUUUAAUCCAUAUGUUUUGGAUUCAUUUGGACUUAACUCAUAAAUAUGCUUCAUCAAGGACUGCCAAGCUCUGCAUUCACUAGAAUCAAGUAGUUUCAUGGGACAAUAGUGCAGACGGAGGAAAUUUGAUAUCUAAGAGUCCAUCACCCAAACAAGGAAAAGAAACCUUCAGGUUCAAACCACUGUCUAUAAAUUAUCUUAGAGCAGUAAUUUACCCUGCACCACUGUCAUGGUAAAAUAAGCCACUUAUGCCUGUGUGGGGUGCAUACAAACGCACACACAAUAGAUAUAUGUCCUUUCCCAGAGAAAUAUCAUAACACAUGGUCUUUCUUGUCAGCAGUUCCGGAAAAGUUAACAACUCUAGAAAGGAAAUAGAGGUUUCUAGCAGCUUUUAAAACCAUAUAGACUCUUCUCUCUCUCUGUCUCUCACUUUCUAUCUCCUCUUCUCUCUUUGUCUCUGUCACAUACAUAAGACUACUACUGGGACUCUGUCAGUUUGCAGCCUGAGAAUCCCUUUACCUUCUGUGAUUCUCCAAUUGGCUAGACAAUUUUGACCAACUUGACUUUCUUGAGUUUGUACUGUAGAGCAUCAUUUGCCCAAUAUAAAAUGAUGUUACAUUACCGAAUGGGCUUUUUUCCAAACUAAAUCUACCUUCCUCUGAGAUUAUUUUAUGCCUUCCUAGGGCCCUGUGGCCUACAGAUUAAGGAUCCCUGCGUGUUCACUACUUGGAAUGAUGCAAUGGACAGUGGCUCAAUGAGAAUAGUAUGAUAGUCCCUCUCCACCACUUAUUAAUUUAUUUUUACUUAAAAGUUAUAAAUUCAAAAUGAACAGCUUCUACAUACUUUUAAACAAAUGCCGUCUUUCAAGGCAGGGUGCACUUUUAAUAUCCUCUGUCAUAACAUCCGUGUUGAGGAGUUUUCAGAGGGAAGAACAGGGAAUUCAUGGCCCAUUUCCAAAUCAGAUCAAAUUUCUUGUGCCAGUGGCAUCUAACACCUCAAAGGAUCGAAGGGCAUCUAAUAACCAAAUACAUUUAAGGUAUUGCAGAAGCCUCUGGCAUGGUUGCUAUGUGCACAUUCUCAUAUAGAAAGUGAGAGCAGAGGGAGUCUUGGGGGGGGGGGGUGUCAGGUAGGAUUCUGGAAUUCACACAUACCGAAUUCUCAACUUUUCAGUGAGUAUGGACAGUAGUGCCACCUUGGACAAAGCCCAUCCUUGCAGGCUUAAGAUUGCUUGAGCUAAUGUUAUCAAUAGGCCAUAUUCCCUUAGCAUUUCUCACAGAAGAGAGCAUUAUAACAAUUAUCAUGUCUGUUGGUUUGAAGUGUGAUGAAAAGGAGGAAUAAUGAUAAGAUUGUGGACAACUACAUAAUAAUAUAAAACAUUAUGGGGGAUGCCUGGGUGGCUCAGCGGUUUAGCGCCUGCCUUCGGACCAGGGUAUGAUCUUGGAGUCUGGAGAUCGAGUCCCACAUCAGGUUCCCUGCAUGGAACCUGCUUCUCCCUCUGCGUGUGUCUCUGCCUCUCUCUCUCUCUCUCUCUCUCUCUCUGUCUCUCAUGAAUAAAUUUUUAAAAAUCUUAAAAAAAAAUUAUGUAACUACCUCUUAAACUACACAGCAUCUUAGACCAAAUGUCCAAAGAUUUUUUACUUAUGCAAAACAACAACAUCCCUCCACAGGAGAGGACUAUAUACAUCUUCUAUUUCAAGAUAGAGUAGGGCAAGCAGAUUCAAAAAGGCACAGAAUCAACUCAGAUUGUUCUUCUUUUCUACAGAUGGAGCAUGGUGUCAAGGGAUGCUCAUUUUCUUCCACUGUGCACUUUUACAGUAGGAAAUGCCAAUAGUGAAUUUUUGUGGGGCCAGCAUGGUGACUGCACUUUGCCUACAACCCUCAACUCAUUUUGUUAGAAGUGGCGAUUGGUUGAGGAAUAACAAGCCUUCAGGAAAAGGAAAGCAGAGACAAAAGAUGAAAGGGAAAAGAGAAACCAAAUGAAGAAACCGAGACUCCGAGAAGUUAGAAAAUGUGCCACCUUCCCAGCUGAGCUGUAGCUUAGCCGGGGUUCAAAUCCAAGCCAUCUGCCAUCAGGGCCACAUGCCCUCAACCCGUGUCUACUGAGGGAGAGCUCCGGAGCCUGCCAGGCUGUAAACUGUAGAGCUAGUAGUUGGAGGGGGGCUGCCUGGGGUCCUAGCAGGGCCAGAAGCCCUGGGGUCCAGUGGCUCCCCCCCCCCCGCGCCCGACAGCAGCAGGCAGCAGUGGCCCAAGCAGCUCAGUGGAGGUGGCCACAGCAGUCCCCUGGCGUUUGAUGUUGUUUGUCGGCAGUCACAAGUGGUCGCUAUCAAGGAUUACUAUUUGUGUAUCCGUGAGUCACAGUAUGCCAGAUUCAUAAGAGCCAGAUGUCACAGCUGACCCAGACGAGGCCCUCAGACGGAUCCCACGCGUUUUGUGUGUCAGGUCUAUAUCCAUUCAUAAAACAGCUCCUUCCCAAAAUAUAAGUCUUGAGAAAAAAAAAAAUCUGAAGUUGGUUGUGCAAUUCUACGACUAGCUGCGAUUGUUUUUCCAAGACCCUCUCCCCGCGUCCCCCGCUGGUGCUUCUUCACACUUUUAAUUCUGAGUUAAUCCUAACACGGUUCAGAGCAGAAGAGGGGACAUGGUACCAAUCACUCAGCCGCGGAAAAAGAAACAGGAAUUGAAAGUCACAAGUAGCCACUUUCUCAGAAGCACAGCUGAAAAAUCCUUAAAAAAAUGCGUGCACGCAUACACGCCAGUCUCAGGAGUUCAAGGUGUCUGGAGUAAGGAUUAGAGAGGUUCAAGUCGACUCCCCCUGUUAAAAUUACAGCUGCACCAAAGAUGGUACAGAGUAUCAGCCCAGGGCUCAGGAAACUCGUCCGGUUCUCAGGAAUGAGAAAAUGCAGCUGUGCUGGAUCAGAUCGGAGGGUCAGGCUUCCCUCUCCUCGUCACCACUCUGUCCAGAAAGAAAAGUCCAAGAGAUGCCCCACUGCCCCAGGGGCAUCCAGGCAGCCGUGAUGGGAACGUGUGUAUCCGUCAUUCCACAAGUGUUCAAAGGCAGUCCAUCCAUAGUCAUUCAAAAAUACUUAAGUGCCCAACCUGCUGGACGAAGGGAGGCCUAGGGGACAGACAUGCAGAAGAUGUACUUCUCCUCACUGAUGGGCUGACUGGAUGGUAGCAGAGAGACUGAACGAUGCCACUUAGAGGGCCCUCUGCCUUCCUCUAAAGACCAGAAGAAGAGCAGACGGAAGGAAGGAAGAAGGAAAUGAAGCAAGGUAGGAUGGAUGAACAUGCUCAAGAAUGUGGCUACUGCCUUAAACCUACCACUGUUCAAGCUCCAAACAAGUGACCAAGAGCACGUGUUAAAUGGUGAGUAAAUGAAAAGGUCAGCGUGUCCAGGGACCCAGUUAACCUCAGCUCGGUGCACAAGAAGGCCCAAUUAAUCCUCGUUAGCUCAGCUUCGGUGGGGUUAUACGUGAGCAGCUCUGGGUGCUCCGGCUCCAGCCCGAGUUGUGUUCCUAUACCACCAAGCCCUGCUGUGAAUCUUGUUUUCUCAAGGCUCAGACUCAGCUUUAAACGCUCAUUUGUUUCACCCAAGAAAUAAAGAGCCUGUGGCCCAGAGGUGAUGAAGUGUUCUUUCUAAAUCUGUCUCAUUUUUCUCUAAAAUAAGAAUUCUCCUGACCACACAGAUGUUACAUGACUCAAGACACACCGUACCCCAUCUCCCUUGCAUACUGACACAUGGCCUCUUCUGAAUUCUAGAUGAUCUGAUUCUGGGUAAGGAGUUGGACCAUGUCAACAUAGCCUCAUUUAAGUGCUUUAAGCAGAAUGAGUAGUGUAAUUAAAUUGCUUAUGCCUCUUGUGUUUUAUUGGUUUAACAACCUAUUAUAAUGAGUAUGCUGUCGUUAAGCUACGCAAUUUGAUGCUAACAUUCUAGCACUGUAAAGUAUGAGGACAGCAUCCACAUGACCAAAUCUCUGUGAAGACGGCAACUUUGAUUUUGACAGUUUCAUCCUUCUGUUCUGGUCUCCUUUCCAUGUCAGUUUUCUUUUCCCAGGUCGUUUUUUCCACUUGGCACCCCUAGACUGCUUCCUACUCUUCUCUUCUUCAAAACCUUGUCCUCAGGUGGGGCUCAGUUCAUUCAGGCAGAGCCAAUCCAGCCCAUUAUAGGUCAGUGUUCUCUCAAGUCUGAUCCCGGGACCCCCUGCAGCUGGAACAUGUGGGUGCUUGUGGACAGUUCAAAUUCCUUGGGCUCCACCAACUGAAGCACAGUUUCUCAGAGUGGGAAAUAAAAAUAAGCAUUUUCAUUAAGUUGCUCAGGUAACUCCAAUGCAUGUGCAAGUGUGUGUAUUAACAGACACACGUAGACAUCACUGAGAUGAAGUGCUUGGCCUCUGGAAGGCUCUAAGAGAAGUUUUUAGACCCUACAGACCUAGAGGUUUAGGACAACUCUCUAAGAGCUGAUCUAGGCUGGGACACAUGAGACAUACUUGGAUGAUGGAGUUCCCUGUAUAUGAGCUUCUCAGAUCCAGGUAUCGAUGGCUCCUUCCACAGAAGGCCAGCAGAGAAGUAGCAAAAUUUAAAUGGCCAUACCUCUCAUCCAGAGGGCAGAAAUGAAAGCUGGUAUGUUAGGAGAGUAAAGAGAGAAAGCAAUACUGGAAAGGGAGAUAGCCUUAGGAAGGAUGAAUGGGGAACAUGUUUGCACAUAUUGAUCUGAUUGCCUGAGGUCUGUGAACAUGAAUGUUAUUCUGAUGUCCUCAUGGUGGCAGAAGUAAUGGUGCCCAAGCCACCUCUAAUUUGAGUGUUGAAUGACCAAACAUGGGUACCCUACUAGUUUCCUCAGCCCUGCACACAUUGUACAAAACAGAAGCUCCUCCCCUCCCGCUGCCACACAAUCAAAUGCAUUCACUGCAGGAGCCUGGAGAUGAGGCCCUGUGUCAUUUCAAAAGUGAAUUCUAUGUGGAGCAUAGACCAGUCUACUGGGGCUGAACCAGUUUAUUUUAUCACCCAGUGAGACACCUGAAGGUAGACUCCACCAAGUUUUUAAAGUCCAAGCCUUCUUCUAUCCUUCUGAUCUGCCUUCCUUAGAAUGUAGCCUCAUCCUUAUGGUGGUUGUACCCUGGCCUUCCCUCUGCAUUCCAGGCAAAAGGAGAGAAAGGGAAGCAACAAGAAGGAAAGGCUCAAUUUCUAUAGGGAAAACCAAAUGGUCCCAGAAAUAUUCUGCUUCUCACUGGUAAGAAAUAUCUGAGAUGGCUACCUCCAAUUGCAAGAGAAUAUCUUGCUUUUAUCUUAAAAAUGUGGAACACUGUCUCCUUGAACAAAAUUGGGAUUCUAUUAGUAAAGAAGAAGAGACAUACGGAUACUGGAUAAGUAAUGGGCAGUGAGUGACCAGGCCUAGAGAUGUGCCAUUGGCUUAUCUGGGGACGAUGAUAUUUUUGCUAAAUGUAUUUGCUUGUCUUUACAGUGCGGUAUGAGUAGCAUUGACGCUAAGCUCCUCCUCUCUUCAAGUAUUUCCUCUGCUUUUAACAUGUGCCUCCGGCUUCUUGUGCCUAGUUUUAAGUCCAUUCAUUCAUUCAUUCAUUCGUUGAGACCCCACUCGGGGUCAGGCACGGGGCCCCAUGCUGUGGGCAUGAUGGAGUGAAGCUGACUUCUGCUGUCAUGGAGCUGGCGUGCCAGCAGAGGGAGGAAGACACAAGAGCAGGUAAGUAUAACACAGAGGAGUG